CCUACGGGUGGCAGCAGUGAGGAAUAUUGGUCAAUGGUCGAGAGUCUGAACCAGCCAAGUAGCGUGAAGGAUGACUGCCCUAUGGGUUGUAAACUUCUUUUAUAUGGGAAUAAAAUGUUCCACGUGUGGGAUUUUGUAUGUACCGUAUGAAUCAGGACCGGCUAACUCCGUGCCAGCAGCCGCGGUAAUACGGAGGAUCCGAGCGUUAUCCGGAUUUAUUGGGUUUAAAGGGAGCGUAGGUGGAAUGUUAAGUCAGUCGUGAAAGGUUGCGGCUCAACCGUAGAAUUGCAGGGGAAACUGGCAUUCUUGAGUACAGUGGAGGUAGGCGGAAUUCGUGGGGUAGCGGUGAAAUGCUUAGAUAUCACGAAGAACCCCGAUUGCGAAGGCAGCUUACGACACCGUUACUGACAUUGAUGCUCGAAAGCGUGGGUAUCAAACAGGAUUAGAUACCCUAGUAGUC
rnacentral:rRNA from 1 species